CAUGGCUCAGGAUAAACGCUGGCGGUGUGCCUUAUGCAUGCAAGUCGAGCGGUUCUUCCCGCAAGGGAAGGAUAGCGGCAAACGGGUGUGUAAUACGUAAGUAACCUACCCCUAAGUGUGGAACAACUCUGAGAAAUCGGGGCUAAUACCGCGUGUGGUUCUUAACCGCAGGGUGGAGAAUUAAAGCCUUCGGGCGCUUGGGGAGGGGCUUACGUCCUAUCAGGUAGUUGGUGGGGUAACGGCUUACCAAGCCGAUGACGGGUAGCUGGUCUGAGAGGAUGGUCAGCCACACUGGGACUGAGACACGGCCCAGACUCCUACGGGAGGCAGCAGCAAGGAAUAUUGUGCAAUGGGCGAAAGCCUGACACAGCGACACCGCGUGAGGGACGAAGGCCUUCGGGUCGUAAACCUCUUUUCUCAGGGAGGAGUAAGGACAGUACCUGGGGAAUAAGCCACGGCUAACUACGUGCCAGCAGCUGCGGUAAAACGUAGGUGGCGAGCGUUAUCCGGAUUUAUUGGGCGUAAAGAGGGCGCAGGCGGCCUGGUAAGUCGAAUGUGAAAUCUCCCGGCUCAGCUGGGAGAGGUCAUUCGAUACUAUCAAGCUUGAGUGCAACAGGGGGAGGUGGAAUUCCCGGUGUAGUGGUGAAAUGCGUAGAUAUCGGGAGGAACACCAGUGGCGAAGGCGGCCUCCUGGGUUGUUACUGACGCUUAAGCCCGAAAGCGUGGGGAGCAAACAGGAUCAGAUACCCUGGUAGUCCACGCUGUAAACUAUGGACACUGGGUAUGGGGAGUAUCGACCCUCUCUGUGCCGAAGUUAACACGUUAAGUGUCCCGUCUGGGAAGUACGGCCGCAAGGCUAAAACUCAAAUGAAUUGACGG
rnacentral:rRNA from 1 species